UACGAAGGAUGCAAGCGUUAUCCGGAUUUAUUGGGUUUAAAGGGUGCGUAGGCGGCCUUAUAAGUCAGUGGUGAAAUCUCGUUGCUUAACAACGAACGUGCCAUUGAUACUGUAGGUCUUGAGUACAGAUGCCGUUGGCGGAAUGUGUCAUGUAGCGGUGAAAUGCAUAGAUAUGACACAGAACACCGAUUGCGAAGGCAGCUGACGAAACUGUAACUGACGCUGAGGCACGAAAGCGUGGGGAUCAAACAGG
rnacentral:rRNA from 1 species